UCGGGAAUUUUGGGCAAUGGGCGAAAGCCUGACCCAGCAACGCCGCGUGAAGGAUGAAGUAUUUCGGUAUGUAAACUUCGUAAGAAUAGGAAGAAUAAAUGACGGUACUAUUUGUAAGGUCCGGCUAACUACGUGCCAGCAGCCGCGGUAAUACGUAGGGACCAAGCGUUGUUCGGAUUUACUGGGCGUAAAGGGCGCGUAGGCGGCAUGACAAGUCACUUGUGAAAUCUCUGGGCUUAACCCAGAACGGCCAAGUGAUACUGUCGCGCUAGAGUGCAGAAGGGGCAAUCGGAAUUCUUGGUGUAGCGGUGAAAUGCGUAGAUAUCAAGAGGAACACCUGAGGUGAAGACGGGUUGCUGGGCUGACACUGACGCUGAGGCGCGAAAGCCAGGGGAGCAAACGGGAUUAGAUACCCGAGUAGUCCCUGAGCGGGCUGGCAAGGCGCAU
rnacentral:rRNA from 1 species